rnacentral:rRNA from 1 species
CAGUCGUACCGGCGGAUAAUCAGCCUUUCGGGUGCGAUUCUGUGGGGCGUGAGGAGCUUAACCGCCUUCAUGUUUUGCAUAUUCGUGCACAUUUGGUGUACUUGUCCGUGUGGUGGGUUAACNUCAAUCUCGGUCGUCAUAAAAUGAUUGGAGGAAUGUAGCUUUGGUCUCGUAUCGAAGUUGUUAUAGACUUCGU